rnacentral:rRNA from 1 species
UCGGGAAUUUUGGGCAAUGGGCGAAAGCCUGACCCAGCAACGCCGCGUGAAGGAUGAAGUAUUUCGGUAUGUAAACUUCGAAAGAAUAGGAAGAAUAAAUGACGGUACUAUUUAUAAGGUCCGGCUAACUACGUGCCAGCAGCCGCGGUAAUACGUAGGGACCAAGCGUUGUUCGGAUUUACUGGGCGUAAAGGGCGCGUAGGCGGCAAUUCAAGUCAUCUGUGAAAUCUCCGGGCUUAACUCGGAACGGUCAGAUGAUACUGCUUUGCUAGAGUGCAGAAGGGGCAAUCGGAAUUCUUGGUGUAGCGGUGAAAUGCGUAGAUAUCAAGAGGAACACCUGAGGUGAAGACGGGUUGCUGGGCUGACACUGACGCUGAGGCGCGAAAGCCAGGGGGAGCAAACGGGAUUAGAU